UGCCAGCCGCCGCGGUAAUACGUAGGGAGCAAGCGUUGUCCGGAAUUAUUGGGCGUAAAGGGUGCGUAGGCGGUUUUGUAAGUCAGAUGUGAAAUACCCAGGCUUAACUUGGGAGGUGCAUUUGAAACUGCAGAACUUGAGUAAAGAAGAGGUAAGUGGAAUUCCUAGUGUAGCGGUGGAAUGCGUAGAUAUUAGGAGGAACACCAGUGGCGAAGGCGGCUCACUGGCUCGAUACUGACGCUGAGGUGCGAAAGCGUGGGGAGCAAACAGGAUUAGAUA
rnacentral:rRNA from 1 species